UGCCAGCCGCCGCGGUAAUACGGAGGGUGCGAGCGUUAUCCGGAUUCAUUGGGUUUAAAGGGUGCGUAGGCGGAACGAUAAGUCAGUGGUGAAAGUUUGUGGCUCAACCAUAAAAUUGCCUUUGAUACUGUCGUUCUUGAGUACAUUUGAGGUAAGCGGAAUGUGUUGUGUAGCGGUGAAAUGCUUAGAUAUAACACAGAACACCGAUUGCGAAGGCAGCUUACUAAACUGUUACUGACGCUGAUGCACGAAAGCGUGGGGAUCGAACAGGAUUAGAUA
rnacentral:rRNA from 1 species